GGGAGGCGCGCCGCUGUUGCGCUUGUGAGGAUCCAGAGGUGGGUUGGGUGGUGUUGGCAAGAGCGCACCCUCUCUCUACAAGGUGAUAGAGAUAAAGGUUGGUGAAUGAGGUGGGAGCCGACUCAAGAUCCAGCGGAUUUCUUGCGGGAGAAAACCACAGUUAAGCCCCGCUCUUGCUGAGACAACACUGAAAUUGCCUCAGCUCAGCCACGCCCUUUCUCUUUUUACCUUCUCGUUUUUCUAGCUGCCUUUUCUUGGAGACUUUCCUUACAGACCUGUCCCUCUGUCGUCUCUGCUCCCUGCUUUAGUGGCUCUUCCAGCUCUAUCCUUCCUCAGGGCAGUGAAAUUUGUUCGUGAGAAGUUUCUUCAUUACAGGUACCAGCUAAAGCCAGAAGGACAUCUACCAAGAGCAGAGAAACCGGCAAGAGAAUUCUGCCUAUUUAAUACAUUCCAGUAUGGAGGGUUUCCAUUUAGAUUAAAAAGUAUAUGUCAUCAGAUGGAAAAAAGUCAAACUCCCGUAUACCUUCUAAUGUUGUGCUGUUUUUGGUUUUUUUUUCCAAAAGACAACUCCCAUAUACCCUCAAAAUGUUGUGUUGUUUUCUGUACCUAUAAACUCUCUAUUUGGUUAUGCAUAGUACUAAUGGCAGGCUUGAAGUGCAUUAUACAGAGUACCUUUAACCCAGAAAUUCAUCUCACAAUUUAGGGAUCCUUGCUUAAGUCUCAACUGUAUCUGCAAUUUCAUCUGUGGGAUCUCUUUUUGCCAUAGGGUCUAGUUUUGUCGUAAAGCUGGAAUUGGAAUGGGAGACUAGGAAGCUUCAGAAGAACUUAAGAAAAUUGGGUUGGCAGGGGUGGUUAGAGAUGUUAAGUUUUACCUUCCUUACCAAAGUACCUGAAGAGCACAGAUACCCAAGCUAUAAAUGGUCGAAAGAUCCUGAGAAUCAGAGUUCCCAGCCAUCUAAAAGAAGCAUGCACAGGGCAGUUACUCUAUAUUAGUUUUCACUUUAAAUUUUAUUGGGAGAUGCAUAGUGUGACAGUUAAAAAAGAUGUAAGAAUCAUAAGUACUAACACUGGAAACAGCUGGAGGUGGAGUGGGGCUGGGAAAUAUUUUGUGAAACAGAUCCUGCUGAGGUUGAAUCCAGAACUUCGCUGAGGGUUCGUUCCACUUCUGCUGUAUGGAACAAGGUUGGAAAUUGACAAGCCCCAGGGCACUGCAGAUGGUAACUGGGAGAGAGGAAUUGGAGUCUGUCGGCAGGUGUGUCUGUGGAAAGCAGCUGCGAUCCUUGAGGAAGAAAAAGUGGAGAAGGAAAGUGGCUAUAAGUCUGUCAGUGACAACACAUCCUGCUAAGUCUUACUCUCCUUUCUGACACUGUGGGUCUUACAUCUGCCCUAGACCUGGCAGCCUCAUUGAGGUUCACAAAGCAUCUCCUAUGUGGCAGUAAGACUGAAAUUAUUAGGUUGGAAUCCAUUCCUGCCAGAGUAAACGAAAGGAAAUCACAGUGUUUGUUAUCUGCUGAUCAUUUUAAAUAGAUCAUGGGGUUCUGUGUUCCUUAUUUGGUAUAUGGCAAGUUGAUAAAUAACUCUUGGUUAAUAUCCUUUAAUGUUUCUGUUACAGUGUGAAAAAUCUGUUAUAAGUAAUUUUUUUAAGAUUAAAAUGCAUGCAUGUUUUAAAGCUGCAACCUCCCAGUCUUUUUUUUAAUCCCACAGAGUAAUUAUAAUGUUGUGUAAGGUUACAUGCCUUGAAGUAGAGGAAUUUACCUAUUUCCAUUACUUAAAAUAGAUGAGAGUCUUAGACAAAGGUACAAAAAAAGGGGAAACUAAUGAAAGGGGGGAGAAGAUGUGGAUGAUGGAGAUUAAGAAGAAAUUUGGUUGUUUUUGUCAAGGGAGUUAGGAGUCAAAUCUUUGAUUUAAAAAAAUCUUGGUUGCUCACUAUUCAGGCUUUGUGAUGAGUUGUCCUGAGUGAGAACUGUUCCCUAGUACUUAAGAACGCUAACAAAUAGUUACCUCGUCCUUCAGGACCUCCACCUAUCUGGAACGUUUUCAACCAUUAAGACCUAUCACUUUCUUGAAGUCUAGCUCCAUAUUCUUUGCAAAAUGUUUUCCAGAUUAGCUCCCCUGAUAAAUUUCCACUGCUUUUUCUUACUUUAGUAAAUAUAAUAACUUACGCUUUCUUGUGCAGUGCCUUUGUAAUCCCCCCACCUCUGCGCAAUGUAUAUUGUUUUCCUAAUUAGACAUAAAUGCCUGGGACCUUCUUGUGUUGCCCACCCUCUUCCCCUUGAGAAAUACCAUUUAAAGGAAUGUUGUGGACAAAAAUCACUUCAGUUAAACUGCCCUUAAAAUAAUUUAUGGACAAAAAUGUUAGCCGUAGGAAUACUUAUCAUCAUAAAAAAUUAGGAAAAAUCUUUAACAAUUAGAGAUUGGUCAAAUUCUAUCAUAUAUACUUAGUGGAAUAUUAUCUAGCUAUUUUUUAAAAGCCAUUAAACUGGCCUUUCUAAUGGAAAAUGUGACCAGUAUGAUUGCUUUGACAUGAAAAAACUAAGUAUAGAACAAAGAGUAAAAAAGGAAGUAACAAAAAUAUAUCAAUCAUCGUUACUGGAAUUACCACUCUAAAACAACCUUUCUGUAAGGGGGUAAUUUUUUUUUUUAUUUUUUUUACUUAGGAGUAGAUGAAAGGAGCUUUUUUUCCCCCAAAAAAAUUUAUGCUUUGUAACAUCCACCUAUAUUACUCUCACCUUUCUAAUUUGGGAAAAACAUACAAACACACAUGUUCUUCAGAAGUAUAUUGCAACUUUUUGAUAGUUCAGUAGCCUCCCUCUGAAACUUUUCUCUAUUGUUAUUAUAGUUAUAUCUAGGACUGUACUACAUAUCUGACUGGUGGAAAAACUCCUGCAAAUUUUACACAAAUUAUACAGUGCACAUUUUCAAGGAUUACUAACGUACAUAAAUGAGAUCUUGAUAUCAUUUGAUACCUUUUGGUAUCAGGAAGGUCUUUAAACAGCCACCACGGAGAGCAAUAAAACCGUUAGAAAAGUUUAAAACCUAAGUUAGCUUUAUUCAUUCUUUAAGUAUUUGAGUAUCUACUCUGUCCUAGUCACUGUUCUAUAGUUGGGGAAACUGUGAUAAAUAGAGCAGACAUGGUCCCUACUACAUUUUAGUGAUAACAGACCAUAAAUAAAUAAACAAGAAAAAUAUAAGUUAGUAAUAGUGCUAGGCAGAGAAUUAACGUAGAUGAAUAUUUUAGAUUAGGUCACUAAGGAAAACUUCUAAAAGAGUGUUUUUAUUUAAACUGCUAUUUGACAGGAGAAUCCAGCUUUGCAGAAAUUGGGGAAACCGUUGCUUGCAGAGGGGACAAAAAUGCAAAACCCUGAGGCAUGAACUAUCCUGGAAUAUUUUGGGAACGAAAAAAAGGCCUGCCUUGUUGGAGCAUAGUGACUACAAGAAGAACUGAAGAGAAGACAGAGAAGAGGAGGCAGUGUGACAACGAGGCUAAGAUUGGAGUAAUACAGCCACAAGUGAAGGAAUACUGACCAGCUCUACCAGACGCCGGGGGAAACAAAAAUCAGAUUCUCCCCUAGGUCCUCCAAAACUGCGGCCCUGCUGACGCCUUAAUUUCAGACUUCUGGCCUCAGAACUGCCAUUUCAGCUCAAUGUCAGGAAACACUUUCUAAUGGAAUGGGGCAAGGAAUGAGUGAAUUUCCAGUCACUUGAAGAAUUCAUGCAUAAAUUGUCACCUACUUGACUGGACAUAGAAGAGAUUCAAGCAUCAGAAGUAUGACUUUUGGAAUAAAUGGUCAAAUGUGAAAGUAAAUUCAGAGAACCCUGAGGUAUCAUUCAGAUGGAGUUACCAGAAGAAGGAAGUAAUCUGGAAUGUUGAGCCACUACAUGAAGGGCUGCCCUGGAGAAACUCCUGGACUCUUAGCAGAUUUGCCUGAUUCCCCCACACUGAAUAGAGAUGACGUGUGAAUAAGAUAUUCUGGAAAUGAAGACAGUGCCAUCCAAGGAUAAGUCUUAAAAGAUAUUGCAGACCCUGCAUUUUUCUCUCUUGGAUUAUCUAUUCUGAAGGAAGUCAGCCACCAUGCUGUGAAGCUGUUACGGAGAGAUCCAUGUGGGGAGGAACUCAGGUCUCCUGCUGGUAGUCAACUAACUUGCCAGCUUUGUGAGCGACUCGUCUUAUAAGUAGAUUCUCCAGGCCUAGUCAAGCCUUUGGGUAACAACAACCCCAGCCAACAUCUUGACUCAUGAGAGACCCCGAACAAAAACUACCCAGCCAAUUUGAUUUAUCCCUAAUCUACAGAAACUAUGAGGUAAUAAAUAUUUAUUGUUACUUUAAGUCACUAGGUUUUGAGGUAAUUUGUUAUGUAGCAAUAGAUAUCUAAUACAUCAUAGUACAUAAAAGGACAGAUAGCUGGAACUUAAUUGAACUUAUAGAAGAGAUUGUAUGAACUGUUGCGUGUAAGCCUCCUUGUUAAUUACUUUUUAAAAUGUCUGUUUAUAUGACGGAAUUUGGUCUAAUACUUGCUUGCACUGUGACUUAGUAAAAAAGCUAUGUCAGAGGAACCACCCCCUUCACUUAUGUCAAAAAUUGGUGGCUACUUUUAUCUGUCAAAAAGAACAAAAUAGUUGUGCGUGACCAAAUUGACUUAGCUAAUUUUGCAAGACAGGCCUAUUGAUUUUUCUGCCUACUACAGCUUGGCUCUAUCCAUUUCUCUUUAUCACCACCAUCAGUCCAGUCCAGACUACCUUCAUGUCUCACCCUGGACCACUAUAACAACCUUCUCACUCAUCUAGUCAUACCCAUUGAUCCUCUUCCAUCCCACCGUCAAUAUUAAAGUUAAAGUGAUCCUUUUAAAACACAAAUCUAUUCAAGUAAUUCCACCACCACCCCUGCCCUUAUUUAAAACCUUUUAGGACUCAGAGAAGAUCAUAAGACAAAGACAUAGCCUAACAUAGCCUACCAAACUCCUGCCCGAUCUGGUCCUGCCAACCCUUUGAGUGUUGUCUUGAACUCUUCUCACUCUUGUUCUCUUUGAUUGCCCGUCACUGGCCUUCCUUCAAUUACUAGUACUUUUCCUGUUCCUACUCACAACAGAGAAUUUGUAUGUGGUGUUUCCUCUGCCUUGAAAUCUCUUCCUUUUCCUGUCUAGUUCAAGUCUGCCUAUCCUUCAUAUCUAGUGCAUGUGUCAGUUCUUCAGCAAAACUUCCCCCAAUCUCCCUGACUGACUCUCAUACAUUCCCAUCAUACAUUCCCUCCUUUGUGUACCUGUCACAUUGCAAUUUUACAUUUGUUUGUGUAAUUAUUUGAUUAAUGUUUGUGUUUACUGCUAUACAUUCUCUAAGAGCAGGUACCAUAUAUAGUUUAACUCAUUUAUGUAUGCCCUGGAGCCCAAGAACAUACUGCAUAUUUGAUAAAUAUUUGAUUAAAGACUUAAUAACUGAUUAACUAAUUGAAUGAACUCAGGUGGGUAUAAAUGUUGCUUCAGAGCCAGAGUGCCUACGUUCAAAUUCUGGCAGUUCCUAACUAUGUAAUGUUAAAAAGAUUUUACCUCACUGAUCUUUAGAUUUGUCCUCUGUAAAUUGGGAAUAAUAAUUACCUUAUAGGGUAUUGCAGGGAAUAAAUGAGUUAAUAUACAUUGAGGGCUUAAAGCCAUUCCCAACACAUUAAGUGCUAUGUAUGGCAAGUGCAAUUAUUAUUAUUAUUGUUAUUAACAUGCUUAGUCAUUUUGUCAUGCUAGUUCCUUAGGCCAUGGCUACCAGUUCCUUGGAUAAGUUCAUUCUUUUCUUACAGAUAACAAAUUCCAAGUGUCUAUGUAAAAACAAGAAGCUCUGUAAAAGACACAAACUGAGGGCAGAGCUUAUAAAUCUUUUUGAGCUGUCCAGUUUUGACUUAGGUAUAAGGAUACUAAUAUUAACCCCCUUAUCACUGGUGUUUCUUUGGUAAUUUCCAAUUUAUACAAAAAGACAAAGCAGUGCUUAAAUGAGAAUUUCAAAGAGUUCUAUAGCUGUCUUUUACUAGGGCACCAAAAAGAAUUGAGCCCACCAUCUCUCUGAGUUUUUUGCAUUGGUUACCUACUUGUAGUUCAAAUAAUGGCAAGAUAUUAACAUAAUAUGUAAUAUUAUUGAUCUCUUUGGAUUAUAGACCUUCUAUACUUUGAGGCACUGACUUUAAAAUGUUAAAGCUACAGGUUUGUAACUUUUGAACACCAUAUGUUAUAAACUGUUGAAAUGAUGUCUCCCUACUUGAUAGUGGAAAUGUUCAUGCUUAGUGCAAAGGCAGCAAUGGUUGGAUCUUGUUUAGCUGCUAAUGCUUCUUAUAGAAGUUGUGAAUGCUUGCACUUUAUUAUAUUCAGGGUCCCCACCUACAGAUAGGUCUCUUGUAAGCUGCCAUUAAUUUGGACAAUAGGUCAUAAACUGAAGGGUUGUUUUAGGUAAGUAUUGCAAAUGAUGUGUUCUGUUCUUUGUUUACUACCAACCAUGAAAAACAACACUGUACUUUCCAGAGAAACUGAGAUCACCCAGUCCUUGCAACUUAGGUCAUUUUCGUUUGGGAGGGGAAAAAAAAAGAAUUCUUUUCAACUCCUUGCCAGUUCCUCCUUGCUUUUUGAGAAGGCGAUACCUCUGAAAGAAAAUAGAUCAAAGAUACAUGGGGCUAAGGGCAGAUCAGAUAGCUAUACUUUGUAGUCUGUUGAAAACAGAGCUAGCUUUACUGGAAAAGAGAUUAUGUGUUAUAGUUAUAAGGAACAGAGGAAAGGUUAGAGGGGUUACUAACCUAAAAAACCAACCCCCAGUCCUCUACCACCUUGUCAGAACUUAAAAUUCCACCAUUAGAAAUUCAUUUGUUUGCAUUUUAAACAGUAAUUCCUUAAAGCAGUUACCUGUGGAAAAAAGUGAAUUCUCUAUCAAUUAUUUUUCCUGAAAGUGAAUUUUGAAAGCACUGAGACCAAGAGGUAACAUUAACUCCUGAAAACUCUGAUUUGACUGUAGGACUGCUAUGGAGAGAAAAGGUUGGAAGAGUACAGGUUACGUUUGAAGAGAAGCUAGAGGGAAAUCUGUGGCCAUAGAAAACAGUGAUUAUAAUGUGUGAUGACUGUGAGGAGAAAGAGAAAAAAGAAGUGGAUUUCUUUUUUGAUUUGUUGCUCUGGGCAUCUACAAUAGAAGAAAGAAAAUAUAUUACUAUAUGAUGAGAUACAAUGAAAAUGACACAGACAAAACAGGAGAGUCAUGCCUAGAAUGUGAGAACAACUGAACUUUCUUAAAUAGCCUGGUCAUUAGCUUUUUUAUGACCAUAAUCAUGCUAAAUUCAUUCCCUACUUGUAGAGUAAUUAGUAUAUAUUGAGCAUCUUGAGAGUAAGACAAAAUUUUUAAGUUUUCUGUUUCUGAGAAGCUCUCCAUAUGUCCUCUCUCCAGUAAUUCACUCAUCAAUGCAUAAACUGUUUACCUAUUAAACUGAAUGUGACAGAUUGAGACCCCAUCCACUAAAAAGUGAGGAAACACAGGUCCCUUUGUCUUGGAACAAGGAACCAAGGAACAUACAAAAAGUAAAGGCAAGAGAAAUUAAAGCAAAAAACAAAUGGGACUACAUCAAACUAGAAAGCAUUUGCACAGAGAAGGAAACUAUCAACAAAACAAAAAGGCAGCCUACUGAAUGGGAGAAGAUAUUUGCAAAUAGUACAUCUGAUAAGGGGUUAAUAUCCAAAAUGUACAAAGAAUUCAUGCAACUCAACAUCAAAAAAGCAAGCAACCCAAUUCAAAAAUGGGCAGAGGACCUGAGUAGAUAUUUUUCCAAAGAAGACAUGCAGAUGGACAACAGACACAUGAAAAGAUGCUCAACAUCACUAACCAUCAGGGAAAUGCAAAUCAAAACCACAAUGAAUUAUCACAUCACACAUGUGAGAAUGGCUAUUAUCAAAAAGACAACAAAUAACAAACGUUGGCAAGGAUGUGGAGAAAAGGGAACCCUCGUGCACUAUUGGUGGGAAUAUAUUGGUAUGACCACUAUGGAAAACACUAUGGUAAUUCCUCAAAAAAUUAAAAAUGGAACUACCAUACGAUCUAGUGAUUCCACUUCUGGGUAUUUUUCUGAAGAAAACAAAAACACUAAUUAGAAAAGAUUCAUGCACCCCAAUGUUCUUUGGAGCAUUAUUUACAAUAGCCAAGAUAUUGUAGCAACCUAAGUGCCCAUCAAUAGAUAAAUGGAUAAAGAAGAUGUAGUAUAUUUGUACAAUGGAAUACUACUCAACCAUAUAAAAGAUGAAAUCUUGUCAUUUACAACAAUAUGGAUGGACCAAGAGCAUAAAGCAUUAAGCCAUGCAGCUAACUCUCCUUAUACCUUUUCCUGCUGUUUACCUGUAAACUGAAAAAGUUACUGCUAUGGUUUGAAUGUUCGGGUCCCCCCAAAAUCUGUAUGUUGAAAUCCUAAUGCUGAGAGAUGAUGGUAUUAGGAGAUGGGGUUUUGGGGAGGUUGCUUAGGUCAUGAGUGUGGAAUCCUCAUGAAUGGGAUUAGUGUUUUUAUGAAAGAGACCCCAUGCAGCUGCUUACCCUCUUCCGUGAGGACACAGAGAGAAGUCACCAGCUAUGAGCCAAAAAAGGCCUUCAUCAGAAUGUGACCAUCCUGGCACCUUGAUUUUGGAUUUCCCAGCCCCCAGAACUGUGAGAAAUAAAUUUGUGUUGUUUAUAGCUCCCCAGUUUGUGAUAUUUUGUUGUA